GGAAACUAAUCCUAAACCAACUCAAGCAUCACUCUUCUAUUAGACUUACAAGAAUACAGUAGCACGGGAUAAUCUCAACAAAGCUUUGUGAUGAUUUUGAAAUGCUUCAUAGUCUCUAAUGUAAUGCAAAACUCUGAGAAUGUUUUUGGAUCAAAUGUAAUCGUAGAAAGUGAUGAAUUGUUUAAUUAUUUCUUUCUUUAUUCUUUUCUUUUAUGGUUUGUCAAUGAACUAUACAAUGGUGUACAUUUUUCUGUUGAAUAUUUUAUUCUUGUUCUUUUUUACUUCUUUUCGCCAUGCCGAUUAACUUUUCUUUGUUUAACGGGCAUAGCAAUAUAUUGUACAAAUUGGUUAUCUUUUUCGAAUGAUACAAUACCAUGUAUUUUGAGUUUGAUCCACACAAUUUCAUUGAGAGGAAAAAGAAAAUUUCAGUAUUCACUUUAUAUGAGAUUCGUCUUGGCGUAUGAUAAUUUAUUUGUUAUAAUAUUGAUCAUAUGAACAAAUUUCACAGUUUUUAUGUAUGAAUUUGAU
rnacentral:misc_RNA from 1 species